rnacentral:rRNA from 1 species
AACGAACGCUGGCGGCAGGCUUAACACAUACAAGUCGAGCGCCCCGCAAGGGGAGCGGCAGACGGGUGAGUAACGCAUGGGAAUCUACCCAUCUCUACGGAAUAACGCAUGGAAACGUGUGCUAAUACCGUAUACGUCCUUCGGGAGAAGGAUUUAUCGGAGAUGGAUGAGCCCGCGUUGGAUUAGCUAGUUGGUGGGGUAAAGGCCUACCAAGGCGACGAUCCAUAGCUGGUCUGAGAGGAUGAUCAGCCACACUGGGACUGAGACACGGCCCAGACUCCUACGGGAGGCAGCAGUGGGGAAUAUUGGACAAUGGGCGCAAGCCUGAUCCAGCCAUGCCGCGUGAGUGAUGAAGGCCCUAGGGUUGUAAAGCUCUUUCACCGGUGAAGAUAAUGACGGUAACCGGAGAAGAAGCCCCGGCUAACUUCGUGCCAGCCGCCGCGGUAAGAC